rnacentral:lncRNA from 1 species
ACAUUAAUGGAUGCACCUAAGUCUAACAUGGCAUGUUCAAACCAAGUAUUGCCAAUAACACAAGGAAUUGUAAAACUAUCGGGAUCUUUGCAUUUAGGGGGCAGUUUUCGUUGCAAGACGGCUGAAACAUUUUCACUUACCCUUACCACCUCCUUGUUCAAAAUCCUCUUCUUUGUUGUGCAAAGUUCUUUCAAGAAUUUAGCAUACUUCGAGACUUGUUUGAUUGCAUCCAGAAGCGGGAUAUUGACUUGUACCUUCCUAAACAUCUCAAGGAUGUCCUUGUCACUUUCUUCCUUCUUUGAUUGCAUAAAUCUGCAAGGAAAUGUACAUUGGGUGGAAUAGGGUUAGAAAUAGUUGAAUUCGAAUCAACCUUACCCGAAUUAGACGGAUUAGGGGGUGUAGUGGCUGCGGUAAGGAUUGCUCAAUCCUUGUCGUGGCCUUGUCUUG